UACGGAGGAUGCGAGCGUCAUCCGGAUUUAUUGGGUUUAAAGGGUGCGUAGGCGGGCUUUUAAGUCAGCGGUAAAAAUUCGGGGCUCAACCCCGUCCGGCCGUUGAAACUGGGGGUCUUGAGUGGGCGAGAAGAAGGCGGAAUGCGUGGUGUAGCGGUGAAAUGCAUAGAUAUCACGCAGAACCCCGAUUGCGAAGGCAGCCUUCCGGCGCCCUACUGACGCUGAGGCACGAAAGUGCGGGGAUCGAACAGG
rnacentral:rRNA from 1 species